rnacentral:rRNA from 1 species
UAAGAAAAUUACUAAGGGCGUAUGGCGGAUGCCUUGGCUUUGAGAGGCGAUGAAGGACGUGACAAGCUGCGAUAAGCUACGAUUAGGUGCAAAUAACCUGUAAGUCGUAGAUUUCCGAAUGGGGCAACCCAAUACUGUGAAGCAGUAUUAUCCCGAUUAAUCGGGAAGCAAACCCGGGGAACUGAAACAUCUAAGUACCCGGAGGAAGAGAAAAUAAUAAUGAUUCCCCUAGUAGCGGCGAGCGAACGGGGAAGAGCCCAAACCAAUAUUGUUUCGGCAAUAUUGGGGUUGUAGGACUACAAUGUGGACUUAAUAUUUAUAGUAGAAUCAAUUGGAAAGUUGAACCAUAGAGGGUGAUAGUCCCGUAGACGAAAUAAAUGUUAUACCUAGUAGUAUCCUGAGUAGCACGAAACACGUGAAAUUUUGUGUGAACCAGCCGGAACCAUCCGGUAAGGCUAAAUACUCCUCAAAGACCGAUAGUGAACUAGUACCGUGAGGGAAAGGUGAAAAGAACUCCGAACAGGAGAGUGAAAUAGUCCCUGAAACCAUACGCUUACAAGCUGUAGGAGUGACGCCAUGUGCGUUAUGACUGCGUGCCUUUUGCAUAAUGAGCCUACGAGUUACUCCUCACUAGCAAGGUUAAGAUCUUCAGGAUCGGAGCCGAAGCGAAAGCAAGUCUGAAUAGGGCGUAUAGUUAGUGGGGGUAGACGCGAAACCGUGUGAUCUACCCAUGGUCAGGUUGAAGCUCUGGUAACACAGAGUGGAGGACCGAACCAGUUGACGUUGAAAAGUCUUUGGAUGAACUGUGGGUAGGGGUGAAAGGCCAAUCAAACUCGGAAAUAGCUCGUACUCCCCGAAAUGUAUUUAGGUACAGCCUUGAGUAAAGAGAGAUAUAGAGGUAGAGCUACUGAUAGGGCUAGGGGGCUUCACCGCCUACCAAACCCUGACAAACUCCGAAUGCUAUAUCUUGUUCCUCAGGAGUGAGGGCAUGGGUGCUAAGGUCCAUGUCCGAGAGGGAAACAACCCAGAUCAUCAGCUAAGGUCCCAAAAUGUAUAUUAAGUUGUUCAAACGUGGUCCGAUUGCUUAGACAGCUAGGAUGUUGGCUUGGAAGCAGCCAUUCAUUUAAAGAGUGCGUAACAGCUCACUAGUCGAGCGAUUGGGCGUGGAUAAUAAUCGGGCAUAAAAUAUACUACCGAAGCUAUGAGAUCGAAAGAUCGGUAGGGGAGCAUUCUAACAGCGCAGAAGGUGUAUCGUAAGGUAUGCUGGAGCAGUUAGAAAAGAAAAUGUAGGCAUAAGUAACGAUAAAGCGGGCGAGAAACCCGCUCACCGAAAGACUAAGGUUUCCUGAUCAACGCUAAUCGGAUCAGGGUUAGUCGGGUCCUAACGCGAACCCGAAAGGGGUAGUGGAUGGAUAACAGGUUAAUAUUCCUGUACUAGCAAUAAUUGCGAUGGGGUGACGGAGUAGUGAAAGGACUGCGUGCUGACGGAAUAGCACGUUAAAGGGUGUAGGUAUUGGGACUGUAGGCAAAUCCGCAGAUCCAGCUGAACCUGAUAGUACCACGAGCCUUCGGGCAAGUGGAUAAUGUCCCUAAUCAGACUUCCAAGAAAACCCUCUAAGCUUCAGAUUAUUGGUACCCGUACCGCAAACCGACACAGGUAGUCGAGGAGAGAAUCCUAAGGUGCUCGAGUGAUUCAUGGUUAAGGAACUAGGCAAAAUCGCCCUGUAACUUCGGAAGAAAGGGCGCCCCCGCUUCAAAACGGGGGCCGCAGUGAAAAGAUCCAAGCGACUGUUUAUCAAAAACACAUGGCUUUGCUAAAUCGAAAGAUGAUGUAUAAGGCCUGACACCUGCCCGGUGCUGGAAGGUUAAAAGGAGAUGUUAUUCCGAUUUAUCGGAAGAAGCAUUGAAUUGAAGCCCCAGUAAACGGCGGCCGUAACUAUAACGGUCCUAAGGUAGCGAAAUUCCUUGUCGGGUAAGUUCCGACCUGCACGAAUGGUGUAACGAUUUGGAUACUGUCUCAACCAUGAGCUCGGUGAAAUUGUAAUCCCGGUGAAGAUGCCGGGUACCCGCAACGGGACGAAAAGACCCCGUGAACCUUUACUAUAGCUUAACAUUGAUAUUGGGUAAUUUAUGUGUAGGAUAGGUGGGAGACUACGAAGCGGCAUCGCUAGGUGUUGUGGAGUCGUCCUUGAAAUACCACCCUUAAAUUGCUUGAUGUCUAAUCCGCCUUAGGUGGAGACAAUGUUUGGUGGGUAGUUUGACUGGGGUGGUCGCCUCCUAAAGAGUAACGGAGGCUUCUAAAGGUGCCCUCAGCACGCUUGGUAACCGUGCGCAGAGUGCAAUGGCACAAGGGCGCUUGACUGUGAGACUGACAAGUCGAGCAGGUACGAAAGUAGAGCAUAGUGAUCCGGUGGUUCCGUAUGGAAGGGCCAUCGCUCAAAGGAUAAAAGGUACUCCGGGGAUAACAGGCUAAUCUCCCCCAAGAGCUCACAUCGACGGGGGGGUUUGGCACCUCGAUGUCGGCUCGUCACAUCCUGGGGCUGGAGAAGGUCCCAAGGGUUGGGCUGUUCGCCCAUUAAAGUGGCACGCGAGCUGGGUUCAGAACGUCGUGAGACAGUUCGGUCUCUAUCUGUUGUGGGCGUUGGAAAUUUGAGAGGAUCUGACUCUAGUACGAGAGGACCGGGUUGGACGAACCUCUGGUGUAUCUGUUGUUCCGCCAGGAGCAUUGCAGAGUAGCUACGUUCGGAAGGGAUAAGCGCUGAAAGCAUCUAAGCGCGAAGCCUACCUCAAGAUGAAAUUUCCUUUAAGGGUCGUUAUAGACGAUGACGUUGAUAGGUUGUAGGUGUAAAGGCAGUAAUGUCAAAGCUGAGCAAUACUAAUUACCCGUAAGUUUUCUA